UACGUAGGGGGCGAGCGUUGUCCGGAGUUACUGGGCGUAAAGGGCACGCAGGCGGUGCGGCGCGUUUCGCGUGACAGCGGAGGGCUUAACUCUCCGAGGAUGCGAAAGACGGCGGCACUUGAGGGCCAGAGAGGGACACGGAAUUCCUGGUCGUAGCGGUGAAAUGCGCAGAGUAUCAGGAGGAACACCUAUUGCGAAGGCAGCUCGCUGGGACGUAACUGACGCUGAGACGCGAAAGCGUGGGGAGCAAACAGG
rnacentral:rRNA from 1 species